CCUACAAUGCAGUCGAACGAAGGUAGCAAUACUUAGUGGCAGACGGGUGAGUAAACCUUAAGAGAUCGUGCCCUUUGGCCUGGAAUAACACGAGGAAACUUGUGCUAAUACCGGAUAAGUCUUUACGGAGAAAGCUUUAUGCACCAUUGGAUGAGCCUGCACUUGAUUAGUUUGUUGGUGGGGUAAUGGCCUACCAAGACUGUGAUCAAUAGCUGAUUUGAGAGGAUGAUCAGCCACAUUGGGACUGAGACACGGCCCAAACUCCUACGGGAGGCAGCAGUGGGGAAUCUUGCACAAUGGAGGAAACUCUGAUGCAGCGAUGCCGCGUGAGUGAAGAAGGCCCUUGGGUUGUAAAGCUCUUUCGUCGGGGAAGAAAAUGACUGUACCCGAUUAAGAAGGUCCGGCUAACUUCGUGCCAGCAGCCGCGGUAAUACGAAGGGACCUAGCGUAGUUCGGAAUUACUGGGCUUAAAGAGUUCGUAGGUGGUUGAAAAAGUUAG
rnacentral:rRNA from 1 species